rnacentral:lncRNA from 1 species
CAACUGUUCUGUUAAAAGCAUUCAUGGAGAGAAGGAAAAACAAAAGUUACACUCACGAUUUUUUCUGAAAUAACACAAGUUGCUUCCCAUUCUCUCCCAUUUAAUGUCUGUCCUUUUGUUCUUGUCCCUGUCUAUUCUUUAUAUUAUAUUUCUACAUUAGCUGCAUGUUUCUCAGUGUAUCUUAUUGUAUUUUAGCCCAUGCAAAAUGAAUUUUAGGAUGAUGCCUCCCAAAAAGAUUUACAAAGCUGCCUCUGUGAGUGAUGGCUACUUCCAGAUGUGUCUCCUCUACUGGAUCUCUCAGUUAAAUUCCAGGAGCCUGUAACACCCAAGGAAUGACCCAAGCAUUACAGUCAGCAUAACCCCAGGAUCAUGAAGCCUUGUGGUAAGUUCUCUAGCAGCUGAUGGAUGUAUGACAGGAAAAACACCCCAGAGUAGUUAUCUGACAUAAGACUGCAAGUACAUGAGUAACCUUACAGCUCUUCAAUUUUAAAACAAAUAUUUCUAUGAAGCUGAAUUUCCCUCAGAGUCAUGUUGUACUGGGUUGCUGGCAUCCAAGUAGCAUCCAGUUCACAUCAUAACCUUCCUCUCCAUGGGGAUGCUCUCCCCCUCUAGCUGAUUGUUUUCACAAACUGAGUCAGAAAUGACUGAGUGUCAGUUGAGCUCUGCCAGGAGAAGUCUGUUCAGCUGAGUCCGAGCAACAGGUUCAAAAGUUAGUAUGGUGAGCUCACUCAAAAUUCAGCAGGGACAGGUGCAAAAUGCUACAUUUAGUAAAGAGCAAUCAGCUACCCAAAGGCAAGCUGAAGAACAGCUAAAUAGAUAGCAAAAGAAGAGUUAUAGAUUAUAAU